rnacentral:rRNA from 1 species
GGCUCAGAACGAACGCUGGCGGCAGGCUUAACACAUGCAAGUCGAGCGCCCCGCAAGGGGAGCGGCAGACGGGUGAGUAACGCGUGGGAAUCUACCCUUGACUACGGAAUAACGCAGGGAAACUUGUGCUAAUACCGUAUGUGUCCUUCGGGAGAAAGAUUUAUCGGUCAAGGAUGAGCCCGCGUUGGAUUAGCUAGUUGGUGGGGUAAAGGCCUACCAAGGCGACGAUCCAUAGCUGGUCUGAGAGGAUGAUCAGCCACAUUGGGACUGAGACACGGCCCAAACUCCUACGGGAGGCAGCAGUGGGGAAUAUUGGACAAUGGGCGCAAGCCUGAUCCAGCCAUGCCGCGUGAGUGAUGAAGGCCCUAGGGUUGUAAA